UCUGGCCUUGCUAAGAAGGCGAUAACUGAAAAGCAGUACAGCUGGUCUCCUGUUCCCCAUUGGCCGAUUAGCUCGAUUUCGUAAGAAGGACGAGUACGCCGAACGUGUUGGUGUCGUAGCUUGGAUUUAGUUAGCCGACGAGAUCUGUGUAAGUUAUGGAAUUGACUGGAAACACAGAGAGGGAUAAUAAGAAUACUAUGAUUGUGUCACUUCACUUUCAGCUUGCGGUGAGAAACGAUGGGGAGCUGUGUGAGUUGGUUGGUGAUGUGACGAAUUCUAAUGGAGGUGUGAUGACUAACAUUCACAAUCUUCUUCUCCUCCUUCCUCAAUCGCCGUUCCUCAGCUCUCAUUCUCUUCAAAGACUAAAAUUCACAAUCAAGCCAAGCCAAGUUCUUAUUUAGGUCAAUGGAGAUGGAAAGUAUGAGCGGAUAAGGUCAACAAGCCUUUGGUGGAGGUUCUUACCAAGAAGAGUGUUGUCUUUUCCACAUCCUUCGUCCGGUUGUUCAUGCAUGAGGAUGAUCUACUAUUUAAAGUCCUCCUGCAGUUCCUGUCUGUACCAUUGCAUAGAGAAGAACUGCUUAACGUGGAAGAGCAUUCGCGUCAGGAUGAGGACCAAACUAUUUUCUUCCGUUUAUCAUAGGGCUCUCAUGUUUAAACCAAUGCAGCACCCUUCGUUGUAUUCAACCUGUCAAGAAUCUACAAAGAUCAAUUUUCGCAUCUAACAGUUUGGAUUCCCACUAUUCAAGUCAGUAACCUGAAUAGGCAAUUUAUAUUCCGUCCUUCUCAUGUUGGCUCCAAGGCUAAGUUUAGGAGGUAUAUGUUAGCAACCUGAGCUCAUUCUCCCUCGCUUCAAGUUCAGCUGAUUUCUCUCUGAUGGUGUCAUUAAGCAACCUGAGCUCAUUCUCCCUCGCCUUAAGUUCCUUAAGAGAUGCUUCCAUCAGCUCAGCUUCCUUUCUCCUUGUCUCGUCUCUGCAGUUUGCUUCAGGUCAAAAUCUUUAACAUUCAUCUCAAAAGCAAAAGACUUCUCAUAUGGGAAAGCAAAGUAACCUCCUUGAUGUUUCUGCAUUACCCCAAGAUACCUCCAAUAUUUACUUUCUUUUUUAGUAGUAUGAUGUAUUCUUAUAUUUAAUUAUGUUUUUAGUUUUAUUUUGUAAUACAGUUUUUUUAAUAUCAU